CUGAUGCAACCAUGCAUGAUCAAGAUUCAAGCAUAUAUCCUCAUCUUGUUAAUCACUUUGUAAACAUUAUCCACGUCAUCAUCAUCGUCAUCUUUGACCUCCUCCAAACACCGCUCAUUAUCGUCCCGGAGACUUCCAUCGCCGCCGCCACAUCCUCCUCUGCUGACGUCCGCAACACUAGACACGACUCGCAUGAAAGAAGUGCACAAAAGAAGUGAUAAGAGGCAACAUAUGAUAAAC
rnacentral:lncRNA from 1 species